rnacentral:rRNA from 1 species
AGCGAACGCUGGCGGCAGGCUUAACACAUGCAAGUCGAACGCCCCGCAAGGGGAGUGGCAGACGGGUGAGUAACACGUGGGAACGUACCCUUCGGUUCGGAAUAACUUGGGGAAACUCAAGCUAAUACCGGAUAAGCCCUUAGGGGGAAAGGUUUACUGCCGAAGGAUCGGCCCGCGUCUGAUUAGCUAGUUGGUGAGGUAAUGGCUCACCAAGGCGACGAUCACUAGCUGGUCUGAGAGGAUGAUCAGCCACACUGGGACUGAGACACGGCCCAGAGUCCUACGGGAGGCAGCAGUGGGGAAUAUUGGACAAUGGGGGCAACCCUGAUCCAGCCAUGCCGCGUGAGUGAUGAAGGCCUUAGGGUUGUAAAGCUCUUUUACCCGGGACGAUAAUGACUGUACCGGGAGAAUAAGCCCCGGCUAACUUCGUGCCAGCCGCCGCCGUAA